rnacentral:rRNA from 1 species
UGAGCGGGGGGCUAAUACAUGCAAGUCGAGCGAAUGGAUUAAGAGCUUGCUCUUAUGAAGUUAGCGGCGGACGGGUGAGUAACACGUGGGUAACCUGCCCAUAAGACUGGGAUAACUCCGGGAAACCGGGGCUAAUACCGGAUAACAUUUUGAACCGCAUGGUUCGAAAUUGAAAGGCGGCUUCGGCUGUCACUUAUGGAUGGACCCGCGUCGCAUUAGCUAGUUGGUGAGGUAACGGCUCACCAAGGCAACGAUGCGUAGCCGACCUGAGAGGGUGAUCGGCCACACUGGGACUGAGACACGGCCCAGACUCCUACGGGAGGCAGCAGUAGGGAAUCUUCCGCAAUGGACGAAAGUCUGACGGAGCAACGCCGCGUGAGUGAUGAAGGCUUUCGGGUCGUAAAACUCUGUUGUUAGGGAAGAACAAGUGCUAGUUGAAUAAGCUGGCACCUUGACGGUACCUAACCAGAAAGCCACGGCUAACUACGUGCCAGCAGCCGCGGUAAUACGUAGGUGGCAAGCGUUAUCCGGAAUUAUUGGGCGUAAAGCGCGCGCAGGUGGUUUCUUAAGUCUGAUGUGAAAGCCCACGGCUCAACCGUGGAGGGUCAUUGGAAACUGGGAGACUUGAGUGCAGAAGAGGAAAGUGGAAUUCCAUGUGUAGCGGUGAAAUGCGUAGAGAUAUGGAGGAACACCAGUGGCGAAGGCGACUUUCUGGUCUGUAACUGACACUGAGGCGCGAAAGUCGGCCC